GUGGAGUGUGUGUGAGGGGGAUGUCCUGAUGUGUGUAAGGAAUGCAUUGUGUGAAUCUGUGUUUGUAUGUGUAAGGGCUGCAAGAUGAGUUUGUGUAUGUAUGGGAUGCAGUGUGUGCGUCUGUAAGGGAUGCAUUGAGUGUGUGUAAGGGGUGCAUUGUGUGUUGCUGUGUGUAAGGGAUGCAUUGCUUGUGUACGUGUGUCUGUGUGUAAUGCAUUGUGUGUUUUUCUGUGUGCAAGGGGUGCAUUAUGUGUGAUGGAUGUCAAUCGCUCCCCCUCCCC